AUGUAGGUACUGCGCAAGCGCGGGCCGUUUGUGAUGAUGCAGUCCGAAGCGACCAACUGUCCGGGGCGGUAGUAUUGCCGGGUGGCUCCGGGCACUGGCUGGCGUGGCGGCGUGGGUCCUCGCGGUUUUGAAUUACAGCGACUUGAGCUCUUGAGGGUCUCACUAUGCAGUUCCGGCUGGCCGUGAGCUCACCUUGUAACCUAGGCUGGUCUCAAACUCGCAACGAUCCUCCUGCUUCAGCCUCCGGAGUGCUGGGAUUACAGGCGUGAGCUACCACGCCCAGCCUGGUUUCCUUUUAUUUAUUUAUUUAUUUAUUUAUAUUUACAUUUUUUAUUUAUAAUAUAGUAAAAACGCAACAGAACAAGAUAAAACAAAGCCAGUUGAGACAAUGUAGUGACAUUGGAACACUGGGAUGUGUUCAAAGCAGGAAACUGGGAUGGUAGUAAUAGGUCUAUAGUAUAUUUUAUUAUCUUCACAAUAGUUGUCCAGUCAACUAGGUAUAGCGAAAUCAAACCAAAAACAGAACAUUGUAAAACCAGUUGAAGGAGAAUAUUGAAUAGAGCAUAAUAAUCAUUACAAAACGUAACAGUGAAAAUAACCUUUGCCUUCAAACAGAACAUAGAAGGAAAUCUCCUAUAUUUGCUAUAUUGCAUAUGGUCAUCCUCUCAAGAUAUGCCCAGAACUCGGUCCCAAUUGCUGGUAGGGGGAGAUGUUUGAUUCUCAGCCCUAAUGCUGGUAGGCUCACAGGAACAGCUUGCUUUCCUUUUAAUUCCAAGUGGAGUCCUGAGCCUGGCGUGGUGGCGCACACACCACCAUAAUCCCAGCAUUCUGGGAGACAGGCAGGAGGAUCACAAGUUCAAUCUCAGACUGGGCAAGUUAGCUAUUUCCUAUUACAGGUUUAAAAAGAGAAAAGAAAGGCUGGGAAUGUAGCUUUGCGAAGGUCCUGUGUUCAAUGCUUAGUACUAGUACAUAAAAAGACUAAUAGUAAUAAAAAGGGGUGAUGGGUUAUAUCAAGACCAACGUUUGGGGUCUCAAGCAUAUUAGAUAUAUUGAGAUCCUCACUGACUGAAAUUUAGUCAGGCUAAUCAUCUCCACUCGUGGAAUGUGGCCACUUUUCAUAUCUGAUUAAGUUCCUCACACCCUGCCCUCGUUCCCUCAUACCCGUAUCCUAUCAGAUCACCAUGGCCUGCCUUCACCAAGAGUUCUGCUGAGUCAGUUUAACAAGCGUCCCCCUUCCUCCUGACAGUUCAGUGAUUUUCUAGAUCCCCGACUUACUGCUUCUUGGCCAUAACUCCUGUUAUGGAUUAAAAACCAGUGGUCAACUUAACGCCAGCUGAAUUAAAUCAGCAGGGUGCUGAGCACAGAUGUUCUACCUGAGGAAAGUUGCCAGCGUAAAUAGAGACAUGGAGAAGAUGAGUGAGGCAUUGUGGAUUCUCCUAUCUGUUGCUGUUUAGCCGUUGAUUCUCCUGGAGAAGCUCUGGUCCUCACAUCAAGCAUUUCUUCCUGGCUCCGGAGGGAAAGACAUGUGCUACUUUGUCUCCAGGAUGAACUCAUCAUGCUGGCUUCCCGGUGUGUAGACUGUGCUUAUGGUCGGAGGUGCUUGGGGCCUCCGUGUCGCUGAGGAUGGCUGUGGUGCUUUUCAGGACAGCCCUGCUUUUUGUUGUAAGUUCUUGGCUCCAGCAUAGAACCCUCAACCUACCAGGGCAGCUCCUUCACCCACUGGCAUAGACUUUCUAGCUUCCACCGCUGACCUUUGGGCCUUCCUGGCAUGGGAUCCUUAAAAGACACUGGCUUGAGUUCUUGUCAUGGGCUCUAGACCUCCAGUCGGACUCAUGGGAGGCAUUGUCAUGAGCUCUGGGUUUGCAUCUGGACUCAUACAGGACGUUGCUGUGGCAUUCAGGCCUUUGGUUGAAUAUUCUAUGUCUUUGGUGUUGUGGGUAGAUUUCCUGCAUUUUCCUGUGUUAACUCUGGGUGACCAUCAUAAAAUAAUAUUACAAAUUCCA